rnacentral:rRNA from 1 species
GACGAACGCUGGCGGCGUGCUUAACACAUACAAGUCGAGCGGAAAGGCUCCUUCGGGGGUACUCGAGCGGCGAACGGGUGAGUAACACGUGAGUAAUCUGCCCUGGACUCUGGGAUAGCCACCGGAAACGGUGAUUAAUACCGGAUAUUACCACUACAGGCAUCUGUUGGUGGUGGAAAGUUUUUUCGGUCCAGGAUGUGCUCGCGGCCUAUCAGCUUGUUGGUGAGGUAAUGGCUCACCAAGGCUUUGACGGGUAGCCGGCCUGAGAGGGUGACCGGUCAGAGUGGGAGUGAGACGAGGCGCAGACUCCUACGGGAGGCAGCAGUGGGGAAUAUUGGAGCAUGGGCGGAAGCCUGAUCCAGCAACGCCGCGUGGGGGAUGACGGCCUUCGGGUUGUAAACCUCUUUCAGUACCGACGAAGCGCAAGUGACGGUAGGUACAGAAGAAGGACCGGCCAACUACGUGCCAGCCGCCGCAGUAACAC